rnacentral:rRNA from 1 species
GUGCCAUAACAAGUUAGAAACACCGGUUCUCGUCUGAUCGCCGAAGUUAGGUAAGGUUGGGUCCGAUUACUGCUUCUGUGGGUGACCGGCUGAGAAUACCGGGUGUUGCCGCCCUU